GACGAACGCUGGCGGCGUGCUUAACACAUGCAAGUCGAACGGAAAGGCCCUGCUUUUGUGGGGUGCUCGAGUGGCGAACGGGUGAGUAACACGUGAGUAACCUGCCCUUGACUUUGGGAUAACUUCAGGAAACUGGGGCUAAUACCGGAUAGGAGCUCCUGCUGCAUGGUGGGGGUUGGAAAGUUUCGGCGGUUGGGGAUGGACUCGCGGCUUAUCAGCUUGUUGGUGGGGUAGUGGCUUACCAAGGCUUUGACGGGUAGCCGGCCUGAGAGGGUGACCGGCCACAUUGGGACUGGGAUACGGCCCAGACUCCUACGGGAGGCAGCAGUGGGGAAUAUUGCACAAGGGGCGGAAGCCUGAUGCAGCAACGCCGCGUGCGGGAUGACGGCCUUCGGGUUGUAAACCGCUUUCGCCUGUGACGAAGCGUGAGGGACGGUAAUGGGUAAAGAAGCACCGGCUAACUACGU
rnacentral:rRNA from 1 species